UACGAAGGCAGCAGUGGGGAAUAUUGCACAAUGGGCGCAAGCCUGAUGCAGCCAUGCCGCGUGUAUGAAGAAGGCCUUCGGGUUGUAAAGUACUUUUCAGCGGGGAGGAAGGCGGUGAAGUUAAUAGCUUCACCGAUUGACGUUACCCGCAGAAGAAGCACCGGCUAACUCCGUGCCAGCAGCCGCGGUAAUACGGAGGGUGCAAGCGUUAAUCGGAAUUACUGGGCGUAAAGCGCACGCAGGCGGUCUGUCAAGUCGGAUGUGAAAUCCCCCGGGCUUAACCUGGGAACUGCAUUCGAACUGGCAGGCUAGAGUCUUGUAGAGGGGGUAGAAUUCCAGGUGUAGCGGUGAAAUGCGUAGAGAUCUGGAGGAAUACCGGUGGCGAAGGCGGCCCCUGGGACAAAGCUGACGCUCAGGUGCGAAAGCGUGGGGAGCAAACGAGGAUUAGGAUACC
rnacentral:rRNA from 1 species